AUAGCGUAUAUUUAAGUUGUUGCAGUUAAAAAGCUCGUAGUUGGAUCUUGGGUCGGGGGGAGCGGUCCGCCCCUUCGUGGGUGUGCACUGGUCCCACCCGACCUUGUUUCUGCCGGGGACGCGCUCCUGGCCUUCGCUGGUCGGGACGCGGAGUCGGCGACGUUACUUUGAAAAAAUUAGAGUGCUCAAAGCAAGCCUAUGCUCUGAAUACAUUAGCAUGGAAUAACGCGAUAGGACUCUGGUCCUUUUGUGUUGGUCUUCGGGACCGGAGUAAUGAUUAAUAGGGACAGUUGGGGGCAUUCGUAUUUCAUUGUCAGAGGUGAAAUUCUUGGAUUUAUGAAAGACGAACUUCUG
rnacentral:rRNA from 1 species